UCCCGCUCCUUGGCGCGCUCCCCUCGGCCGCCGCGCCUACGGGCUUCGCGUCCCUGGGGUCCGACCGCGCGCUCGCCCGCGGGGUCUGCUUCGGCGACGCCACGCUCUCCGACUGCCUCGGGUGCCUGUCGGCUUGCUGGCCAAGAACCUGACCGACGGCUGCGGCGCCACCACCCGGCUUGCCGGCGUCUGGAACGACGGCUGCUUCGUGUCGUACGCCGACACCGUUGCCCCCUCGGCCACCACACUGCUCCCCACUGCGCUGGUGCCUCGCAGCGAACCCAGCGACCCCAACGACUCCAACGGCUUCAUCAACCUUAGUCUCGGUCUCCUCUACGCCCUUGUAGCCAUGCAGUUCGUCAACCUGAUGCUGACAAUCGCUAAUGCUUUCAACUGACCGGUGAAGAGAAGAAUGCAAUGCAAUCAGCACGCACGUGACUGAGCAAACUGCAACAAACUACACUGUGUGUGUGUGUGUUCGCGUGGUCUCCAUCGAUGAAUUAGGUGCAUGCCUACUUCUGUUUCAGUUUCGUUCAGUUAUGUGUGUGAUGUGGGCAUGUCGUGAGUUGUAGUGCAAGAAUGGCACUCCGGC